GACGAACGCUGGCGGCGUGCUUAACACAUGCAAGUCGAGCGGUAAGGCCCUUUCGGGGGGUACACGAGCGGCGAACGGGUGAGUAACACGUGGGUGACCUGCCCUCAGCUCUGGGAUAAGCCUGGGAAACCGGGUCUAAUACUGGAUAUGACUCCAUGACGCAUGUUGUGGGGUGGAAAGCCUUGUGCGGCUGAGGAUGGGCCCGCGGCCUAUCAGCUUGUUGGUGGGGGUGAGGCCUACCAAGGCGACGACGGGUA
rnacentral:rRNA from 1 species